GAUGAGCGCUAGCGGCAGGCCUAAUACAUGCAAGUCGAACGGUAAGUAUGAUAGCAAUAUUGUACCAAGAGUGACGUACGGGUGCAUAACACGUAUGCAACCUACCCUUUACAGAUGGAUAGCUCGGGGAAACUCGAAUUAACCCGUCAUAGUAUAGUUGAAUGGCAUCAUUUAAUUAUUAAAACUGAGGUGGUAAAGGAUGGGCAUGCGUCUGAUUAGAGUUGGCGGGUAACGGCCCACCAAGACGAUGAUCAGUA
rnacentral:rRNA from 1 species